GAGCUUUGCUGGUAAUUAGAGCUGUUACAGGAGACAAAGACCAAGCCAGUGAUGAUGCCAGUGUCUACCCAGAGCAGCCAGGUCUCCUAGAGCCAGAUUUGAGUUGUAUUGCCAGCUUGCACAUUGCUCUACGAUGCCAUAACCACUCAUGGACGCCUACACUGUGCCAAGUGGAGUUCUGGGACCAGGGACACAGAGAUGGAAAUACAGCAGAGGAAGUCCCUGCCCUGGGGAACAUAAGGGAUGGCAAUUGUCCUGGGUGACUGGAGAAGGUACAAAGAUGCAGAAGCUCCAGAGGUGAAAGAACACGUGUGCCCCAGCCCCCCUCCUCCCUGCCCCCAUCCCACUUCCUGCUGCAGGCGCAGUGAACGGUCCCUGUUCCUCAGGCACACGGGGCUCUGCCGUGCUGCUCCCCUGGCCCAGGAAGGCCUUCUCUCUGCUGGUUAAAGGCUCCUCACCCUUCCAGAUACACGGUCCUCCUCUGUGAAGUCUCCUGAGGCUGCUCUCCCCUACCCCCUACUCCUCCCCAUCCACCCACCCCAGCCAUUGUUCUUUUAAGACCCUUUCAGCCCCAGAUGUUCUUAUUUUAGGGAGCGCCUUCCUCCGUCAGGUCAUACUGUUAUCAGAUCCCACAUUAAAUCCAUGUAUUAGUAACUGUGGAAGAGCCAAGUGGAGCAGAAAGUGAC